GACGUAGGGCGCGAGCGUUGUCCGGAUUGAUUGGGCGUAAAGAGCUCGUAGGCGGCUCGUUGCGUCGGCUGUGAAAACCCGCAGCUCAACUGUGGGCCUGCAGCCGAUACGGGCGGGCUGGAGUUCGGUAGGGGAGACUGGAAUUCCAGGUGUAGCGGUGAAAUGCGUAGAUAUCUGGAGGAACACCGGUGGCGAAGGCGGCAUCCUGGACCGACACUGACGCUGAGGCGCGAAAGCUAGGGUAGCAAACGGG
rnacentral:rRNA from 1 species